UAUUUUUCUUUUAAAAAUAUGAAAGUUGACCUUAUGAACUUAUGUUAUGAUAUUAUAGUAAUUUAUUAGUUUUUUACCUCAUUUGUAGAUGGCGCACUUGAGUCUUCUCCUACAGGUUUAAAGUAUUAUAUACUUCAAUUAGGGUUGAAUUUUACUAUGUUAUGUUUGAUAAAACAGGGAAACUUUAAAUACUAAGAAAAUAUCAAAAGUUAUAUUUUUUGUUCAAAUUUACGAAAAGAAAAAGAAGUUUAAUAAUCUUUAAUUUGUACUACACCAAAAAGUACAAAAGAGGUCUGCAUCUAUGCACAAAGUUAGUUUUUUUUUUCUUUGCAGAAUAGGUCUUGUUUCCCGACGAGAAAAAUAUUAGCCCAAAUUCGGAUCAGUCUAAUGAAUAUCGAACAAUGUACUCAUGUCGUUCGUUUGUAGUGCUUUAUCAUAUAACUUCAUCGAUCAAAAUAUUUGUUUGUAGUUUUAUAAAUAUGUAUACAGAACAUAUUUCUCAUCAUUCUAAAUAGAUCAUUCAAGCUCAUACUCAUAUGUUUGUUUUCUUUUUGACAAAGAAAAGUUGUAUCCCAAUGAGGCAUAAAAAAACUAAAAAAAUAAAUAUGCGACAGUUUAUUGUUUGGCCGCACAAGAAAAAUAAAUUGAGAAGGGUUUUCCUUUUAAUUUUAUUUUCCUUCUUCCUCAAAUACAGUUUUGAACUUAGAGUUACAAAUAAUAAGAAAUAUUUGGAUCAUCCCUUGGAAAAUUACACUUCUUUUAAUUUUUUUUCUCUUGAAUUGUAUAAAAUUUGGUAUGUCAACUACAAUUUCAUUGGGCAUUUAAAUAAAUAAAUUGCAGAUCUUUAACUCAAUUGACCUCUGAUUUCGUAGCUCCUUUUCAUGAUGAAUUUUAUCCAAAAUCGUUUUGAAGACCUUUGACUUUUGGAUUGUAUUUUGUCAACUACUCAUCUGAUGGAUGAGUGUAAAACAUUAUUCGAUAGCUUGAUAUUCAGUUAUAAAAAAGUUUAUUUUACCUGCCACAUAUUUUUUGACCUGAAAUAUCAGAAACAUUAUUUUUUGAUUAUUAUUUGAUGUUGAUAAAGCUUUUAUUUGAACAAGAUACAAUUUUAUUGCACUUUAAAAAAUAAAAGACUAGAGUGGUAAGUCUCUCUUGAUAUGAGAGAUAUGAUAUGUUGAAUUAGUUUCUAUAAAAUUUUUACGUGUAAAAAACUGCUUUGCAAAGUUUUGUACCAGAAUGGAACUGGUCAUUAAUGCAAAAUGCAGCUAUAUUAAUCGAAAAUGUAAAUUAGGCUGUCCCUUGAUUGUUUGAUGAAUUAAUUUUUCCAAAUUUAAUGAUAUUUUGUGAAAUUUAAAACUUUAUGUAAUGGGUAAGAAGUGUUUCAUUUUAUGUUAGAUGGAGGAGCCUGUAUUAAGGGAAAAUAUCCUUGAAAUAAAAUGGUUUUAUUACAAAAUAGUUUAAGGCAAAAGUAUCUAACACUUUUUAGAAGUAGUCUUUGGUUAUUAAAUUUUUGAUUGAAAUUUAACAUGUAUCAGCAUUUGCUGACUUUUAUAAUUAAACACAAAUUAAACGUAGAAUAAAUUAAAAUGUCAAAACUAACCAGAGUCAAGUAUGAAUCAAAUAAAGGUUUGUAUAAUUAUAAAUUAAAAUGUAUAUAUAUAUAACUGUAAUUGAAACUUUAUGUUAUUGGAACAAUUGGAAAAAUCGUAUUUUAAUCCGGCUAGUUUUUCAAUUUACCGAGUAAUCCAUUAAAAUCUAAACACCUUGAAUUUUAAAAAUCAACAAGAUAUAAUUUAUUAAUAAACUAUAGAAUUUCAACAAAAUUAAUAUAAAAAAUAGAUGUGUAUCUGAGCUCUCUUAAUCAUUAGUGUAGCCACCCUUAGAGACAAUGAUAGCUUCCAGCCCGCAGUUGAAGGUGUGGCCUUCUCCUCGACUACACUUUUUAGCUGCAUAUCGAGGGGGUUGUCAUCAGGGUUUUAGGGGUACCACAAGUGUAAAAAAAGAAUUCAGAAGAACUCAAAAGAGUAUUGCAA
rnacentral:lncRNA from 1 species